CCUACGGGAGGCUGCAGUGGGGAAUAUUGCACAAUGGGGGAAACCCUGAUGCAGCGACGCCGCGUGAGUGAAGAAGUAUUUCGGUAUGUAAAGCUCUAUCAGCAGGGAAGAAAAAAGACGGUACCUGACUAAGAAGCCUCGGCUAACUACGUGCCAGCAGCCGCGGUAAUACGGAGGAUGCGAGCGUUAUCCGGAUUUAUGGGGUUUAAAGGGUGCGUAGGGGGACAGUCAAGUCAGCGGUAAAAAUGCGGUGCUAAACGCCGUACAGCCGUUGAAACUGGCAGUCUUGAGUGGGCGAGAAGUAUGCGGAAUGCGUGGUGUAGCGGUGAAAUGCAUAGAUAUCACGAAGAACUCCGAUUGCGAAGGCAGCAUACCGGCGCCCGACUGACGCUGAGGCACGAAAGCGUGGGUAUCGAACAGGAUUAGAUACCCGAGUAGUC
rnacentral:rRNA from 1 species